AUGGAAGUAAAAGUCGUAACAAGGUUUCCGUAGGUGAACCUGCGGAAGGAUCAUUUAAAAAAUGUGGUACCAAUUAUUGGUACUAAUUAAUCAUCCUACCCUUUGUGAAUUUGUUUGUAUGAAUUUUUUUAAAUGGGUCUUUCCCUAAGUUGGAUUGUAGUAAAAUACAAAAAGACUUAGGGGAAUGACUUUUUUAAAAGACUUUUUUUUAAUUAAAACUUUUUGUAUUCAUUUGUCUAAAAUUUAUUUUUAUAAUAUAAAACAACUUUUGACAAUGGAUCUCUUGGUUCUCGCAACGAUGAAGAACGCAGCAAAAUGCGAUAAGUAGUGUGAAUUGCAGAAUACGUGAAUCAUCGAAUCUUCGAACGCAUAUUGCACUUUUUUAGUUUACUAAAAAAGUAUGUCUGUUUGAGUAUCAGUAAAAUAUUCUCACAAACAUAUAUUGUUUGUGGUUAUGAGUGUUUUACAACGAUAAACAAGUUGUUUCACUUUAAAUUCUUUUUAAUUGAAUUUUUACCAAUUCAUAAAUUAAAAUUGGAUAAAAUUUUCCUUUAACCGAGGAAUAACCUAAACAAUUUUAAAUUUUAUGGAUUAAUAAACAUUCAUCAAAGGAAUCUAAUUAUACAUAAAUAACUUGAUCUCAAAUCAGAUAAGAGUACCCGCUGAACUUAAGCAUAUCAAUAAGCGGAGGAAAAGAAACUAACAAGGAUUCCCUUAGUAACGGCGAGUGAAGCGGGAAGAGCUCAAAUUUGAAAUCUUCAAGUUUGACCUUGACGAAUUGUAGUUUAUAGAAGUGUUUUCUGUUGGAGUUUUGGUAAAAGUUCUUUGGAAUAGGACAUCAUAGAGGGUGAGAAUCCCGUAUUUGACCAUGACUUUCCAGCUGUGUGAUACACUUUCAAAGAGUCGGAUUGUUUGGGAAUGCAGUCCAAAAUGGGUGGUAAAUUUCAUCUAAAGCUAAAUAUUGGCGAGAGACCGAUAGCGAACAAGUACCGUGAGGGAAAGAUGAAAAGAACUUUGAAAAGAGAGUUAAACAGUACGUGAAAUCGUCAAAAGGGAAGCGUUUGACACCAGUGUUGUUUUCUCGAAAAUCAAUUUAAUGAGUUCUUGUUUUUAAGUUAUUGUGACUUUAUCAGCGCACUUCUUAUUUUACUUGACUCAUUGAAUGCACUUUUCGUUUAACAAGUCAACAUCAAUUUCUUUGGUGGUGAAAAGUUUAAAGGAAGGUGGCUUGGACUUCGGUUCAAGUGUUUAUAGCCUUUUUUCUAUGCCAUCGGAGAGAUUGAGGUCUGCAGCGUAGAUCCUUCGGGGUUAGAUACCUUUGUGCUAAGUUAUAGUUUUUUAUAGACAACUUGUUGACUAUAAUUAACCCUGUAAUUUACACGCUUAGGCUACUUUACCUACGCUUAGGAUGUUGAG
rnacentral:misc_RNA from 1 species